AGAGAAUAGAUACCCGGGUAGUCCACGCUGUAAACGAUGGUGACUAGGUGUUGCGGGUAUCGACCCCCGCAGUGCCGUAGCUAAACGCGUUAAGUCACCCGCCUGGGGAGUACGGUCGCAAGACUGAAACUCAAAGGAAUUGACGGGGGCCCGCACAAGCGGUGGAGGAUGUGGUUUAAUUCGACGCAACGCGAAGAACCUUACCAAGGCUUGACAUCCACAGAACCCUCUAGAAAUAGAGGGGUGCCCGAAAGGGAGCUGUGAGACAGGUGGUGCAUGGCUGUCGUCAGCUCGUGUCGUGAGAUGUUGGGUUAAGUCCCGCAACGAGCGCAACCCUCGUGGUUAGUUGCCAACAGGUUAUGCUGGGCACUCUAGCCAGACUGCCGGUGACAAACCGGAGGAAGGUAGGGACGACGUCAAGUCAUCAUGCCCCUUACGUCUUGGGCUACACACGUCCUACAAUGGCCGGAACAAAGGGCUGCAAGCUAGCGAUAGCAAGCGAAUCCCAAAAAUCCGGCCUCAGUUCAGAUUGCAGGCUGC
rnacentral:rRNA from 1 species